AACGAACGCUGGCGGCAGGCCUAACACAUGCAAGUCGAACGCCCCGCAAGGGGAGUGGCAGACGGGUGAGUAACACGUGGGAACGUGCCCAAAGGUUCGGAAUAUUCCCGGGAAACUGGGAGCAAUACCGAAUGUGUCCGCAAGGAGAAAGAUUUAUCGCCUUUGGAUCGGCCCGCGUCGGAUUAGCUAGUUGGUGGGGUAAAAGCCUACCAAGGCGACGAUCCGUAGCUGGUUUGAGAGAACGACCAGCCACACUGGGACUGAGACACGGCCCAGACUCCUACGGGAGGCAGCAGUGGGGAAUCUUGGACAAUGGGCGCAAGCCUGAUCCAGCCAUGCCGCGUGGAUGAUGAAGGCCCUAGGGUUGUAAAAUCCUUUCGUUGGGGACGAUAAUGACGGUACCCAAAGAAGAAGCUCCGGCUAACUUCGUGCCAGCAGCCGCAGUAAAAC
rnacentral:rRNA from 1 species